ACUGGUCUGAGCCAAGCGGUUACCACAACAGAAUCGAAAUCUGACUGCGCAGGUUCGAAACCUGUCGACAAGUG